ensembl:lncRNA MEG3 maternally expressed 3
CACCCAUAGCUUCUUCCCCAUGGUGCUUUCCAUGUGUCACACACCACGACUGUGACCCAGGGUCGGGGUCAAGAGUAGCCUGGGGCCAAGCCCUCCCACCCAUGAGCGGAGAAGUCCUCCCCAGGCCUCACCUUGCCUGGCGCAUGGUCCCUCCCAUGAGCUUUGCUUUCAGCCUUUCAGCUUCCUCCACAGGGUGGCAGUGGUUGUAACUCAUCCAUUCAUCCCUUCAUCCCUUCAUUCAUUCACUCACAGCCAACAGACGUUUUUAAAAAAUUAGCCAGUGCUAUACUAGAGCUGGCUCCCAAGGACCCGCUGCCGCAUUGCCUUUUGAAACAAAACAAUGAACACGUUGGUAAAGGGGCCGUGCUUGUGUGUCGGUGACAAGGCGAGAUCCCUGAGUCAGGUCAGGCUUGUAGAUUCGAGUUCUGUUGCGAGUUUGAUUGCCCCUCUGACUUUGUCCCCUGUACAACUAGGUUGAUUAGGAAUCAGCCAACUGUGUUCCCUGGGUGCUCAGAAAUCACAGCCCAUAUCCUCGAGAGGCCAAAAUGAGAGCCAGGGGGUUCCAAGAUGAGUGGCUGCUUCUGGCCGGGAGCAGGUUUUCAAGUCAUUAGAACACUCUGGCCUUUCCUGGAGGUGAUCUUGGAGCCAUUCCUGCCCCUUUCAAGAGGAGUUAAUGCCCAGCUCUGUUUAGAGAAAAUUGGGGGAGAUGAUUGCUCAUGUGGGUGAUAAGAAUCACCUCCCGUGCAGGGGUCUGCAUAGAACACUCCAUAGGCAAACCUGGGUGUCCAAGGCACGUGGCAUUUUGCAAACUCUGGGUGCAGCUCCGAGCUGUCCUGCAGGUCCCAGACCAGGUGAGAACUCCCUGAGUUCCUGCUGCCUGGGUCGGGGGUGAGGCAUAGGUCUUGGGGGUUCAACCUGGAAUUCUGAAUGUCAUUCAUUGCAUUGGAGAGGAAGGAGAGUAGGCAAAGCCAAGACCCUGGAACUGGACAAACUCGUGUGGUUUAAAGUCACUGUGAGAGCUGGAGUUGAGUCUGCCUACGGGGGAGGACUGCGGCACCUACCUCGCAGGGCUGUUGUGAGGAGCAAUGUAACCGUGAUUUUGAACUGUGAUUCUGGAAGGGCGGUGUGCGUGUCCCCGGGGGUGUGCCAGGGGAGUGAGGAGAAAAGGCCAGGGAGACAGCCUCACUCAGGCAGCUGAGUGGGAGAGCAUUUAUCUCUAAACCUGGAGGGGUAUAUGGUGGGACAGGAGGAAUUUGGGCAGGAACUUUCAUGCUAGGGGUUUGGGGGACUCGCUGGACAAUGCCCCUGGACCCCCCGGGGGUACGCGUUCACGCUCACCUCUGAGAGGCUGGAAACGCCUGGCUGUGCUUUCUGAAUGCUGUGUGCUUCCUGCCUCUGUGCCUGGCCUGUGUGCAGCACCUACUUGUGUCCGCCUUCAAAAGGCCCUUCUGGGUGGCGUCCUUUUCCCCAAAAUAUUAGGCACCAGCCAUCAAAGAUACUGCAUUGUUGCCUCCCCCACCCCUCCCCCCAACUGACAACAUUUGGGCUCAAAUGCAGCAGGCUGGGUGCCCAACACAGUGCCUGGCGAGUGGUAGCGCUUACGUUUCUUUUCUGUUGAAUGGAUGGAUAGCUAAUGAAAUUGUAACCAAUGACAAGCCUUGAUGUUUAUAACCUUUACUAAGAGAUUAUUAUUUUGCUCUUCAUGGACCUGUUAACAACCACCAUAUUGUAUCUUACGGACGUUUGUAUGCCACGUUUGAAGAGCAGGAGCCUUGUUUCGGCGUCAUGUUGAUGGAACUUGAGCUGUCUGAUGCGAAUCUGUGUUUUAUGUUAGAAAGCGCGUAGCCUUAGGAUCUGGCAGACCCAGGGGCCACUUAAUUAACCCUUUGCCUCUUUGACCCUCAAUCUCCUUUUCUCUAAGCCAUAGGUCACCUGAAAGCCUACCUCACAGGGCUGUUGUGAGGGCCGAGGCCUCCACAGCCACGGGGACACCCUGCACCUAUUCCCACGGGACAGGCUGGACCCAGAGACUCUGGACCCGGGGCCUCCCCUUGAGUAGAGACCCGCCCUCU